rnacentral:rRNA from 1 species
UACAGAGGAGCCAAGCGUUGUCCGGAUUGACUGGGCGUAAAGCGCACGCAGGCGGACGCGCGCGUGGGGUGUGAAAUCUGGCCGCUUAACGGCCAGGCGCCAUCCCAUACGGCGCGACUGGAGUGAUGCAGAGGUCGAUGGAAUUGCCGGUGUAGUGGUGAAACGCGUAGAGAUCGGCAGGAACACCCAGGGGGAAACCAGUCGACUGGGCAUCUACUGACGCUGAGGUGCGAGAGCGUGGUGAGCGAACCGG